UGCAAAGGAAAGGUGAUCAGCCGACUCUGUAAUAACAAUACCCCUCCAAAAAUAGCAAGCAGAUGUGGUGUGUGUAUCGACAGUGCUAACCUGCAGUAAAUCGCCGUCCAGAAAAAGCAUACCCCAGAAAAAUAUCAAGCUAGCACAACACCAACUACAUUCAUGAAAAAGGAAGCAAAUAAUAAAUGAGUGCAACCUGAGUGAAUCUAAAGGGAAAGAGCAAACGGGCAAGAACCACAACAUGCCACCAACCGUUGAGUAUUAUAUACAUCAAUCACAAACAACCUAUGGGCAUGCUUGCUUGUGAAACCUCCAGCUUUCCAACCGUGCAAGCAAGCAAGCAAGAUCCCCUUUUCAUGCAAGAUUUCAAGCAGACAGGACAAGUGCGUGCAUACAAAAUGCAGGACAGGAUCCACAUUUGACACAUGCUCCGGAGCUAAUUAAGACUAUUUUGGAGCCGAGCUUUCUUGGCUCACUGCGGCCACCGAGAAUAAGGUGUGUAAACAUGACACUAACAGCAGAAGUGUCACGAGGUGGGUCAGAUCUGAGUGAAAGGUACCUUUCAACUGGCUUUCGUGUUCCCCUGGUUGCUUCGAGUCGAGAUGGAUGUGGAUGGUCCCUGAGGUUUCUCCAGCCGGGUCUACAACUGGCUUUGUACUUGCGUUCCGAAUUUUCCUGCAGAUAUGUGCCACAGAAGUUCAAUACCAUUUUUCCCGGCCAUGAACUUGAAAUGUAUGCCGCAAUCAGCAAAGAGCCAGAAGGGCCCAAUAUUUUAUCCAGGUGAAAAGAAAAAGAGGGCCUGAAACUAGAGAUUUCUUUUUGAUCCGGUUCACUGAAACUAAUAAAGAAAAAAUGAAUCAGCAAGAACACUGAUGCAAAUCCAGUUCACUGGUGGAGUGGAGGAACACAAAAUUGGAUCCUUUUUCUUCUAGCGGACAAAAGAAAUAACCCCACAGAAUCCCACCCUGCUGUCCAGACUCGAGAGCGUGUACAGAGGAAAACACAUGCCUCAACUAAUCUUCUACCUAACAAUGCAGCCUCCGCGUCACCCCUGGCCUCUGAAUCUCUGAUCAACGGCAGUUAAUAAGAACACUGACCACCUACUAAUCCCCAAACCCAAAAUGUCCCUUGGUUUAACCGCCGGCGACAAAGAGUCGGAAAUCUCCGUCGGGCCGCCGUAAAUCCGAAAGAAAGCGCAGGCGGGCGGGCAGGAAUGCCGUCCGGUCCGGGGAGAGAAACUAGAAGGCGAAACCGGAAUGAGAUUGCGGCGGGCCGACGGGGGGGAGAAGAUCAAGAGAGCACGUACCUGGUUCUGGUUCUGGUUCUGGCUGGAUUCUCCUCGGAUUGCUCGGUCGCGAGCUCCUGGCGGGGAUCCGGAUGACGCUGACGACUGACGCAGUCUGGGGGAAGAGAAGAAGCGGCAGGAGUAGCGGGGAUGACGAUGACGAGGGAGCUGUGGGGGAGGGGGAGAGAGGAGCGGAGGGGAGGAGGUGGGGUGGUGGACUGAACUGACUGGUGAGUUGGGGGACUGGUAACUGCUCGAUGAUGGUGGUGGUUCACGAGGCGCGCGCAGGGGUGGCGUCUCGGAGGGUGGACCCAGUCCAC
rnacentral:lncRNA from 1 species